UGCCCGAAAGGGUGACGAUGCGACGCCGCGUGAGCGAAGAAGGCCCUAGGGUUGUAAAGCUCUUUCAGGGGUUAAGAAAUGUAGAUAGGUUAAUACCCUGUUUUUUUGUCAAAAGCCCCAAAGGAAGCCACGUCUAACUCUGUCCCAGCAGCCGCGGUAAUACAGAGGUGGCAAGCGUUGUUCGGUAUUAUCAGGCGUAAAGAGCACGUAGGUGGUUUUGUAAGUCAGAUGUGAAAGCCUUCUGUUCAAAGGAAGAACGGCAUCUGAAACUGCAAAUCUCGAGUGUAGGAGGGGAGAGUGGAACUUCUGGUGGAGCGGUGAAAUGCGUAGAUAUCAGAAGGAACGUCGGCGGCGAAAGCGACUCUCUGGCCUAUUACUGACACUGAGUGUGCGAAAGUUAGGGGAGCAAACGGGAUUAGAUACCCCGGUAGUCCUAACCGUAACCGAUGGGCACUAACUAGCGGGGU
rnacentral:rRNA from 1 species